UCNNUGGGGGAACCCUGAUGCAGCGACGCCGCGUGAGCGAUGAAGCCCUUCGGGGUGUAAAGCUCUUUCGGCAGGGAAGAUUAUGACGGUACCUGCAGAAGCAGCUGCGGCUAACUACGUGCCAGCAGCCGCGGUAAUACGUAGGCAGCAAGCGUUGUUCGGAGUUACUGGGCGUAAAGGGUGCGUAGGCGGUUCCGUAAGUAUGGUGUGAAAUCUCCCGGCUUAACUGGGAGGGUGCGCUAUAAACUGCGGGACUAGAGUGUGGGAGAGGAAAGUGGAAUUCCUGGUGUAGCGGUGAAAUGCGUAGAUAUCAGGAGGAACACCGGUGGUGUAAACGGCUUUCUGGACCAUAACUGACGCUGAGGCACGAAAGCGUGGGUAGCAAACAGGAUUAGAUACCCUGGUAGUCCACGCCCUAAACGAUGCAUAUUUGGUGUGGGUCAUUCAGUUGAUCCGUGCCGGAGCUAACGCGUUAAAUAUGCCGCCUGGGGAGUACAGUCGCAAGGCUGAAACUCAAAGGAAUUGACGGA
rnacentral:rRNA from 1 species